UGGAGAUUGAUCCUGGCUCAGGACGAACGCUGGCGGCGUGCUUAACACAUGCAAGUCGAACGAUGAAGCCCUUCGGGGUGGAUUAGUGGCGAACGGGUGAGUAACACGUGGGCAAUCUGCCCUUCACUCUGGGACAAGCCCUGGAAACGGGGUCUAAUACCGGAUAACACUCCUGCCUGCAUGGGCGGGGGUUAAAAGCUCCGGCGGUGAAGGAUGAGCCCGCGGCCUAUCAGCUUGUUGGUGGGGUAAUGGCCCACCAAGGCGACGACGGGUAGCCGGCCUGAGAGGGCGACCGGCCACACUGGGACUGAGACACGGCCCAGACUCCUACGGGAGGCAGCAGUGGGGAAUAUUGCACAAUGGGCGAAAGCCUGAUGCAGCGACGCCGCGUGAGGGAUGACGGCCUUCGGGUUGUAAACCCUCCC
rnacentral:rRNA from 1 species